rnacentral:lncRNA from 1 species
GGGGCUGCGUUGAAGAUUUGAUUCAUUCAGAAAUUUGCUCGUAUCUCUUCUUUCUUACACACUCUUCUUAUUAUCUAAUUAGUCUCUUCCUUCUUUUAUUAGAAAAAAUCCAAAAAUAGUAAGGACAAGUCCGAUUUUAAGACAAGAGCCUAGGAGGAGAAUUAAGGAAGACAAAGAGAGAAGAAAGAUAGGGAUAGGAAGGCUAGGAG